UCACCAGAUCAAACUCUACCAGGACCAGUUGCAGAAAUGGAUCCGGGGCAACGUCAGCGCUUGCGCCCGGUCUGUUUUCAUCUUUGACGAAAUGGACAAGCUCCACCCGGGACUGAUCGAUGCCAUCAAGCCUUUCCUCGACUACUAUGAUAACAUCGACGGCAUCUCCUACCGAAGAGCCAUGUUCGUCUUUCUCAGUAACGCAGGAGGCGACCUCAUCACAAAAGUGGCCCUAGACUUUUGGAGGAGAGGACAGG